rnacentral:rRNA from 1 species
GACGAACGUUGGCGGCGUGCUUAACACAUGCAGGUCGAACGGAAAGGCCCUGCUUUUGUGGGGUGCUCGAGUGGCGAACGGGUGAGUAACACGUGAGUAACCUGCCCUUGACUUUGGGAUAACUUCAGGAAACUGGGGCUAAUACCGGAUAGGAGCUCCUGCUGCAUGGUGGGGGUUGGAAAGUUUCGGCGGUUGGGGAUGGACUCGCGGCUUAUCAGCUUGUUGGUGGGGUAGUGGCUUACCAAGGCUUUGACGGGUAGCCGGCCUGAGAGGGUGACCGGCCACAUUGGGACUGAGAUACGGCCCAGACUCCUACGGGAGGCAGCAGUGGGGAAUAUUGCACAAUGGGCGGAAGCCUGAUGCAGCAACGCCGCGUGCGGGAUGACGGCCUUCGGGUUGUAAACCGCUUUCGCCUGUGACGAAGCGUGAGUGACGGUAAUGGGUAAAGAAGCACCGGCUAACUACGUG